rnacentral:lncRNA from 1 species
GCAGAAUUGUACUUGCAGGGAGCUUGUUUUAUUAUAGUAUAUAAAAAAGGCAAGUAAGUGGAAUUCUUCUAUUUGAAAUAUGUUUGGGAUAGUAACCUAAAGAAGUAGAAUUUGGAUGGAUAGGAAUAUUUGAAUAAAAUCCUCUAGUUAGGUUUAAUUAUGAUGAAUUAUGUUGCCAAAUCACUUGUGUAAUUCAGUAGAAUAUCUAGCAGCAGCCAUUUUUAAGAAUCAACCAAAAUCCCCAUCUUCAAUCUUUUGGUCAACCAAAAGAUUGAAGAUGGGGUUCAGCUUGUCCAAACUCAGAUUCUUCCUGAAAAAUUUGAAGUUGGAAUUGAUUCUGAUUUCAAGGAUGGUAAGAUGGGAAAUGAUGAUUUUACUAUAUGAUAAUAGCAGUAAUUUUCAAAUUUUACGAUUUGACAAUAUUCUAUAUUUUUAUUGUGAGACAUGUUUCAUAUAACUAUGUUUAUAACAAUGGAAAAAUACAAUAGAAAAGAAAAUAGAAAUGAUACUGAAUCGUAUGUUAAGUCUUGAAAGAAUAAUGUUACACAAUAUGAGUGGAAUAAUGACAUGAACUUUUGUAAUAUCUUCUAUCUCACCAAUGGCAUUGAUUUGAGCUGUGGUUCUUUCAUGAACUUUGACUUUUUAAUUUUUCUUCUUUGAGUAAUACAAGUUUCAUCUUGCUUUAAUUUAUGUAAAAUUAUACUCUCAUGCCAUUCAUUUUCUGC